rnacentral:rRNA from 1 species
UACGGGGGGAGCAAGCGUUGUUCGGAUUUACUGGGCGUAAAGGGCGCGUAGGCGGUCAGCACAAGUCAGUUGUGAAAUCUCCGGGCUUAACUACGGAAAGGUCAACUGAUACUGUGCGACUAGAGUGCAGAAGGGGCAACUGGAAUUCUCGGUGUAGCGGUGAAAUGCGUAGAUAUCAAGGAGGAACACCUGAGGUGAAGACGGUUGCUGGGCUGACACGUGACGCUGAGGCGCGAAAGCUAGGGUAGCAAACGGG